GUGCAGUCUUUCCAUCUCUGUGUGUGGCGGGGUGCGGUUUUUCCAUCUCUGCGUCUGGGGGGGGUGUGGUCUUUCCAUCUCUGCGUCUGGAGGGGGUGUGGUCUUUCCAUCUCUGUGUCCUGGGGGAGGGGGGGUGCGGUCUUUCCAUCUCUGUGUUUGGGGAUACAGUCUUUCCAUCUCUGUGUUGGUGGGGGGUGCAGUCUUUCCAUCUCUUUGUCUGGGGUGGGUGUGGUCUUUCCAUCUCUGUGUCCUGUUGUGGGGGGUGUGGUCUUUCCAUCUCUCUGUCUGGGGGGGUGCGGUCUUUCCAUCUCUGUGUCUUGCGGGGGUGGUCUUUCCAUCUCUGUGUCUGGGGGGUGGGUGUGGUCUUUCCAUCUCUGUGUCCUGUGGCAGGGUGCAGUCUUUCCAUCUGUUUGUGUGUGUGUGUGUGUGUGGGGGGGGGGGGGGGGGGGGUGGUCUUUCCAUCGCUGUGUCCUGGGGGGGUAUGGUCUUUCCAUCUCUGUGUCUUGGGGAGUGUGGUCUUUCCAUCUCUGUGUCCAGGUCGGGGGGAGGGGUGGUGCGGCCUUCCUAUCUCUGUGUCCUAAGCGGGGGUGUGGCUGUUCCAUUCUGUGUUUGGUAGGGGGGUGCGACCUUUCCAUCUCUGUGUCCAGGGAGGGGGGUGUGGCCUUUCCAUCUCUAUGUCUUCGGGGUGUGUGGCCUUUCCAUCUCUAUGUCUUGGGGGUGUGUGGCCUUUCCGUCUCUGUGUCUGGGGAGUGCAGUUGUUCCAUCCUGUGCCUUGUCUGAGUCCUCUUGACAGCUGCAACCUGGAAGCCACUUCCAGGUGUGUCGGGAGUUGGUUCCUUCCAGUGGGUUCGUGGUCUUGCUGACUUCAAGAAUGGAACUGCGGAUCUUCGUGAGCCCUGAUUGGUGCAUUUUACAAACCUCUAGCUAGCUACACAAAAGUUCUCCAAGUCCCCACUCGACCCAGGAAGUCCAGCUGGCUUCAGCUCUCACAGGUCUUGCAGCUGAAACACGAGCAUCUCUGCCGGGCGUGGUGGCUCAUGACUGUAAUCCCAGCACUUUGGGAGGCUGAGGCAGGCAGAUCACCUGAGGUCAGGAGUUCGAGACCAGCCUGGCCAACAUAGUGAAACCCUGUAUCUACUAAAAAUACAAAAAGUAGCUGGGUACGAUGUUGUGUGUCUGUAAUUCCAGCUACUCAGGAGGCUGAGGCAGGAGAAUCGCUUGAACUCAGGGGGCAGAGGUUGCAGUGAGCCAGGAUGAUGCCACUGCACUCCAGCCUGGGCAAGAAGAGCGAGCCUGCCUCAAAAAAAAAAAAAAAAAAAAAAAAAAAAAAAAAGAAGAAAGAAAGAAAAGAAACAUGAGUAUCUUCUUAGAAACGGAUGCAGCCCACGUACAGUUAUGAUGCUGGCUUUGAAACAAAACAGUAACAUUCUUCAUACCGAAGUUUUACACUCCCCACUUGUCAGAAGAAAAACUGAGACAGAAUAAACAAAUCGCUUCCAGGCAGAGAUGAAGCUAGGAUUGGAAGCCAGGACCAACAGUCCCCGAAGGGUAUAGAACAGUCCUGCUGUGAACAAAAGAGUUUUAGCAGAAUCUGCUGUUGUGGAAAGGGCUAAUACAUCCUCGUGGAGCGCUGCCGCCAGGGCUGUGCUGCUGGCCUUGUGCAGGGAGCUCACGCAAGAGCCAGAGGAUUCAACGGGCUGGGGCAGGAUCUUCUCAGGGAGAUGGAGAACCAGCAGUAAAUCUGCGUGUUUGCAUUUUUCUUGUGUUGUGCUUUCUCAAGCAGCCGACAGGCCCCGGGCGGCCCCACCACAGCCACCCUCGGCCAGUGCUCAUCUCCCACCCCACACAUGUGCGUGUGAAACCUCUCUUCACUGAUGCACCCAGGCCUGGGCUUCAGGCUUUAGUGUCUUCCCUUGAGUGCUUGGGAACCUGCCUUCAGUUUUCAGAGCACGAAGCACUGUGCCAUGUCAGCUCUGAACCUGAGGCCCUUGAGAUUCCUUGACUCCAGGUUGCUGGAGAGCUCUCAGCAUCAUCCUGUGGAGCUGGGCAGCAGCUGCAGAUGACCACCCACUGCCUCCAGCCAGACCCAGAGCCCCAAAAGGAGUGGGCUGUGAGGCAAUGCCAGGGGCAGGGGGCCAGGAGCACACCAGUCACAUGAAGGGACCAGCCCCACAGGGUCUGUGUGUUUUUCUCCCCGUGUGCAGAGACAAGAGAUCGUAGAAAUAAAGACGCAAGACAAAGAGAUAAAAGACAGCUGGGCCCGGGGGACCACUACCACCAAGACGCGGAGACCGGUAGCGGCCCAGAAUGCCAGGCUGCACUUUUAUUGGAUAGAAGACAAGGGGGCAGGGUAAAGAGUGUGAGUCAUCUCCAAUGAUAGGUAAGGUCACGUGUGUCACGUGUCCACUGGACAGGGGGCCCUUCGUCAUUUGGCAGCCAAGGCAGAGAGGCAGAGAGAGAGAGGCAGCUUACGCCAUUACUUCUGCAUAUCAGAGACUUUUAGUACUUUCACUAAUUUUGCUACUGCUAUCUAAAGUGCAGAGCCAGGUGUACAGAAUGGAACAUGAAAGCGGACUAGGAGUGUGACCACUGAAGCACAGCAUCACAGGGAGACGGUUAGGCCUCCAGAUGGCUGCGGGCGGGCCUGACUGAUAUCAGGCCUUCCACAAGAGGUGGAGGAGUAGAGUCUUCUCUAAACUCCCCCAGGGAAAGGGAGACUCCCUCUCCCAGUCUGCUAAGUAGCAGGUGCUUUUCCUUUGCACUGACGUUACCACUAGACUACGGUCCGCUUGGCGACGGGCAUCUUCCCAGACGCUGGCGUCACCGCUAGACCAAGGAGCCCUCUGGUGGCCCUGUCCGGGCAUGACAGAAGGCUCACACUCUUGUCUUCUGGUCACUUCUCACUAUGUCCCCUCAGCUCCUAUUUCCGUAUGGCCUGGUUUUUCCUAGGUUAUGAUUGUAGAGUGAGGAUUAUUAUAAUAUUGGAAUAAAG
rnacentral:lncRNA from 1 species